rnacentral:lncRNA from 1 species
CUGAGAUGUUGAUGGUUUUGUCUUCAGAAAACCCUGAACAUAGAUAAAGUGCAUCAAGUGCCAAUUUGAAUUUGGCAGGCAAAGUUGGGCUGCAAAUGAUCUAAUUUAUCUCAAUUCAAAUCAGCUUAGCAAAUUUGGAAGAUGCUGCACGAAAAUAGUGGAGGUGUUAAUGACUUCUGAAAGGACCCCAAGGCCAACAGAAGAGAAGGAACAGAAGCAACGAAUUGGGAGCUGACAUCUUCCCAGCCGCAAGCCAACGAAGAUGUCACGUAUCCCCGAACCCCAGCAGAUGGUAGCAGAAUAAAGUGGAGG